AAUACCAGCCUCAGAGAACUUUGGAAAGAGCCGUUGAAGUGGCAAGGAUGACAGCGUCAACAAAUCCUGCUUAAUAAGUGAAACCCUAGAAUUUUCCUUAAUCACGUCAGAAGCUUGCCUCGCCAAUUUUGACCGGGAUAGAGGUGUUCGAAUUCCCUUGGCUCGAGGUUCGGAUCAGCUCAGAACGAGAGAGUAGAUUCAAGAUCGAAGCUACAGUUCACUGCCCACAAAAAAGUUAGAUCUAAACCUUUAUUGCUGUAUUUAUUUGUUUAUUAUCAUAUGGUAAAAAUCACAAUAUAGGAAAUCAUUUGAUAUAGAAAUCAUGUCACUAUUUCAAUAUUCUGUGUUAGGAAUAUUAGUCUAAGAAUAACAUUUCAUAGCUUGAGAGUUAUUUUAAUUAAAGCAACUUUAGUGUAUUAUGAAUAUCUAGUCUUAUUUAAAGUAGGAUUAUUCUAUCGACAUAAGUUUGUUUCCAUUAGCUAAUGAUGAUACGGGACUUAGUUAGUCUUUAAAUACACUGAAUGAUUUGGGGUCUUAGUAUAUAAGUUAAUUUGAACUAUAGGUUUGACUUUGUUUCUCUAUUUAACAAAUGAAAUAGAUACAUGUAGAGUUAGACACCAGCUUUUAAAAUUCUUAAGUGACAGAAACCAUGUCGUAAGUAGUAGAAAUCAUGUAUAGUAUACAUUUUCUUAAAUUCUAAGAGCUCUUCUCUGUUUGUUACCGUUAAUAGUAUGUACCCUAAGUGGGAUCUUGUGCUCGUUUAUUAGUACAUAAGUAUUAACCUAGUACCAUGAAUUUGUUGGUGUAGUUUAAAGACUUGAGAUUAUAAAACAAGUAUGACCUAUUCCUUUGUCCAUUCCUUAUGAAUGUGUAAGAAUCAAUUUAUGUUAAGUAAGAAUUUGGUCUUUUGAGUCUUUUGGAUAAUGUGACAUGUAUUAGUAUAUGUUUUAGUAUAACUUUGCAACUUAUUUUCUCUAUUUGAUAUCUUUCUUUAAUGUUAAGAAGCAUAUGUUCCCCACUAACUUUUUUAGUUUUUCUUUAUUUUCGCAUGAACAUCGGAGCCAAAGAGUUUCUCUUUGAGACUCAACAAUGUCGUAAAAUCGCAUGGAGUCAGCAAACUUUUCAUGUUCUCACCGCUAAUGUAGCGACAUACCGCAUGGGAUGCUGGCGGAGAAGCCAGUCAAUUGUCUUUUUGAUUUCUACGUUAAUCACAAUGUUGCUUCUUUGUGUUUGGUGACAGUUUAAAUAGUCAUAUGUUAGAAUCUUAAUUGUUAUGUGGUACUAUAUCAAUUUAGCGGGGUGUUUAAUUCUAGAUAAUAAUAGCGAUACUCAUCAUAUCACAUGGAACAUAGCAUCUAGACAUAAGGAUUUUAAAUUAGUAGUUGGGGCAAUAACAGACAUUUCAAAUGACCAGUUUUAAAAGCCGCA